rnacentral:rRNA from 1 species
GAAGGGCGCUAGCGUUUUUCGGAUUUACUGGGCGUAAAGCGCGUGUAGGCGGUUCCAUAAGUCGGGGGUGAUAUCCCGGAGCUCAACUCGGGAACCGCGUUCAAAACUGGCGACCUAGAUCCAAGUAGAGGCAAGUGGAAUUGCGAGUGUAGAGGUGAAAUUCGUAGAUAUUCGCAGGAACACCAGUGGAGAAGGCGAUCCUGCUGGACUCGUGGUGACGCUGAGGCGCGAAAGCGUGGGGAGCAAACAGGAUUAGAUACCGUGGUAGUCCACGCUGUAAACGAUGAGAGCUAGUUGUCGGCAAUCUUCCGUCUCGGUGACGCAGCUAACGCAUUAAGCUCUCCGCCUGGGGAGUACGGUCGCAAGGUUG